GCCGGCGCCCCUUGGGGCCGGCGGGUCGCGCGGGCGCCACUCGGCGUCCGGCGAUCGGACCAUCUUGUACCCAUGUUGCUCAAGAGGAGGAUGUGGCUAUGAGAA
rnacentral:sRNA from 1 species